AAACAUGUAUGUCUAACCGCCAGUGCCUCUGGGUGGAGUCUUUUUACAUGAAUAUGAUGCCCUUAUGUCUGCUGGCUGAAAUGUUUUAAUACAGUGCCUUGCGGGUGGUGAUAUACUACGUUGUGUUGCGAUUUUUUCAUCUAUAAGAAAGUUAAUGUAGGAAAUUAGAAAUAUAACAAUGACUAUAUAUAUUUGAUUUAAACUCUUUUUUUUUACUUCACACCAUAGACACCCAAUCUUUCUUG